UACGGGGGGAGCAAGCGUUGUUCGGAUUUACUGGGCGUAAAGGGCGCGUAGGCGGUCAGCACAAGUCAGUUGUGAAAUCUCCGGGCUUAACUCGGAAAGGUCAACUGAUACUGUGCGACUAGAGUGCAGAAGGGGGCAAUUGGAAUUCUCGGUGUAGCGGUGAAAUGCGUAGAUAUCGAGAGGAACACCUGCGGCGAAGGCGGGUUGCUGGGCUGACACUGACGCUGAUGCGCGAAAGCCAGGGGAGCGAACGGG
rnacentral:rRNA from 1 species